GAAAUGAAGCUUAUGAUGAAAUACUGAUGCUUGGCCAAUCUCACCCACGAGAUAUAAUAAGAACUGAUGCAGGUUUAUAACUACAUAUACAGGCAACUUACCCAACUUCGAAAGUAGUGCGCUGGAUUCGCCUAAAGAUGCGCUAAACAACGCAUCAAUUAGUUUGACAGAUAAAACUUUGGAAGAAAGUUCGGUUCGGAAGUCCCGACAGCAAAGCGAGGUAAAAUGAGUGAAAAUGAA